UGUGCCAGCAGCCGCGGUAAUACAGAGGGUGCAAGCGUUAAUCGGAAUUACUGGGCGUAAAGCGAGCGUAGGUGGCUUGAUAAGUCAGAUGUGAAAGCCCCGGGCUUAACCUGGGAACGGCAUCUGAUACUGUUAGGCUAGAGUAGGUGAGAGGAAGGUAGAAUUCCAGGUGUAGCGGUGAAAUGCGUAGAGAUCUGGAGGAAUACCGAUGGCGAAGGCAGCCUUCUGGCAUCAUACUGACACUGAGGUUCGAAAGCGUGGGUAGCAAACAGGAUUAGAUACCCUGGUAGUCCACGCCGUAAACGAUGUCUACUAGUCGUUGGGUCCCGUGAGGACUUAGUGACGCAGCUAACGCAAUAAGUAGACCGCCUGGGGAGUACGGCCGCAAGGUUAAAACUCAAAUGAAUUGACGGGGGCCCGCACAAGCGGUGGAGCAUGUGGUUUAAUUCGAUGCAACGCGAAGAACCUUACCUGGUCUUGACAUAUCUAGAAUCCUGCAGAGAUGCGGGAGUGCCUUCGGGAAUUAGAAUACAGGUGCUGCAUGGCUGUCGUCAGCUCGUGUCGUGAGAUGUUGGGUUAAGUCCCGCAACGAGCGCAACCCUCGUCCUUAGUUACCAGCGGUUUGGCCGGGAACUCUAAGGAUACUGCCAGUGACAAACUGGAGGAAGGCGGGGACGACGUCAAGUCAUCAUGGCCCUUACGACCAGGGCUACACACGUGCUACAAUGGUAGGUACAGAGGGCAGCUACACAGCGAUGUGAUGCGAAUCUCAAAAAGCCUAUCGUAGUCCAGAUUGGAGUCUGCAACUCGACUCCAUGAAGUAGGAAUCGCUAGUAAUCGCGGAUCAGAAUGCCGCGGUGAAUACGUUCCCGGGCCUUGUACACACCGCCCGUCACACCAUGGGAGUUGAUUGCACCAGAAGUGGUUAGCCUAACCUUUUAGGAAGGCGAUCACCACGGUGUGGUUGAUGACUGGGGUGAAGUCGUAACAAGGUAACCGA
rnacentral:rRNA from 1 species